AACGAACGCUGGCGGCAUGCCUAACACAUGCAAGUCGAACGAGAUCUUCGGGUCUAGUGGCGCACGGGUGCGUAACGCGUGGGAAUCUGCCCUUUGGUUCGGAAUAACAGCUGGAAACGACUGCUAAUACCGGAUGAUGACGAAAGUCCAAAGAUUUAUCGCCAGAGGAUGAGCCCGCGUAGGAUUAGCUAGUUGGUGUGGUAAAGGCGCACCAAGGCGACGAUCCUUAGCUGGUCUGAGAGGAUGAUCAGCCACACUGGGACUGAGACACGGCCCAGACUCCUACGGGAGGCAGCAGUGGGGAAUAUUGGACAAUGGGCGAAAGCCUGAUCCAGCAAUGCCGCGUGAGUGAUGAAGGCCUUAGGGUUGUAAAGCUCUUUUACCCGGGAUGAUAAUGACAGUACCGGGAGAAUAAGCUCCGGCUAACUCCGUACCAGCAGCCGCGGUAAUAC
rnacentral:rRNA from 1 species